rnacentral:rRNA from 1 species
GGCCCGGACACUGUAAGGAUUGACAGAUUGAAAGCUCUUUCUCGAUUUGGUGGUUGGUUGGUGCNUGGCCGUUUCUUAGUUGGUGGAUUGAUUUGUCUGGUUUAUUCCGAUAACGAACGAGACUCUAUCCUACUAAAUAGUUUCACGAUUUUCAAGUCAUGUAGACUUCUUAGAGGGAUAAGCGGUGUUUAACCGCACGAGAUUGAGCGAUAACAGGUCUGUGAUGCCCUUAGAUGUCCGGGGCUGCACGCGCGCUACACUGGAGAAUUCAGCUGGUCUUCCAUUGCCGAAAGGUAUUGGUAAACCGUUGAAACUUCUCCGUGACCGGGACCGGGAAUUGCAAUUAUUUC